AACGCUAGCUACAGGCUUAACACAUGCAAGUCGAGGGGCAGCAUGACGGAAGCUCGCUUCCGUUGAUGGCGACCGGCGCACGGGUGAGUAACGCGUAUCCAACCUGCCCUUGUCCAUCGGAUAACCCGUCCGAAAGGCGGACUAACACGAUAUGCAGUCCACAGCAGGCAUCUAACGUGGACGAAAUGUGAAGGAGAAGGAUGGGGAUGCGUCUGAUUAGCUUGUUGGCGGGGUAACGGCCCACCAAGGCGACGAUCAGUAGGGGUUCGUGAGAGGAAGGUCCCCCACCAUUGGAACUGAGACACGGUCCAAACUCCUACGGGAGGGCAGCAGUGAGGAAUAUUGGUCAAUGGGCGUAAGCCUGAACCAGCCAAGUAGCGUGAGGGAAGACUCGCCCUACGGGGUUGUAAACCUCUUUUGUUUGGGAAUAAAGUGCGGGACGCGUCCCGCAUUGCAUGUACCAUUUGAAUAAGGACCGGCUAAUUCCGUG
rnacentral:rRNA from 1 species